rnacentral:tRNA from 1 species
GCCCGCCGGCCCGGCAGCUUCAUGUACCACCCACACGCCGACGAGAUGGUGCAGAUGGCCAUGGGCAUGAUGGGCCUGUGGAUCAC